AACGUAGGAGACAAUCGUUAUCCGGAGUUACUGGGCGUAAAGGGCGUGUAGGUGGUUUCGUAAGUCUGGCGUGAAAUUUUUCGGCUUAACCGGGAAAGGUCGUCGGAUACUGCGGAACUAGAGGACGGUAGAGGCGUGUGGAAUUCCGGGGGUAGUGGUGAAAUGCGUAGAGAUCCGGAGGAACACCAGUGGCGAAGGCGACACGCUGGGCCGUACCUGACACUGAUGCGCGACAGCAUGGGGAGCAAACAGG
rnacentral:rRNA from 1 species